rnacentral:rRNA from 1 species
AAGACCUCAAAUCAGGUGGGACUACCCGCUGAACUUAAGCAUAUCAA